rnacentral:hammerhead_ribozyme from 1 species
UUCCAGUUGACAAGUCCCAAAUAGGACGAAACUCGCUUCCUGGAU